GGCUUAUAGGUAGAAACUGAAAUAGGAUGCAUCAGUGACUAGAACCAUUCAACACUGGUCUGACCAAUCGGAAUCCACGCUUCAAGAUUGUUUUGAUCACGCGGACUGGGAUAUGUCCCGGUCAGCCUCAGAUAACAACAUCGAUCUAUACGCUGACUCGGUGAGUGAGUUUAUAAAGAAGUGCAUUGAAGAUGUUGUACCUACCCUAACCAGAAACCGUGGAUGGAUGGCGGAAUUCGUGCAAAACUGAAAGUGCGAACCACCACAUUUAACCAUGGAAAGAGGUCUGGGAAUAUGGCUGAAUAUAAACAGUGUAGUUAUUCCCUCCGCAAGGCAAUCAAACAAGCGAAAUGCCAGUACAGGCCAAAGACACGAGAUGUAUGUGGCAGGGUCUACAGGAAAUUACAGACUACAAAAAGAAAACCAGCCACGUCACGGUCACUGACGUCACGCUUCCAGACAAACUAAACACCUUCUUUGCCCGCUUUGAGGAUAGUACAGUGCCACCGUCACGGCCCACUAACGAGGACUGCCCCCCCCUCUCCGUGGCCGAUGUGAGUAAAACAUUUAAAUGUGUUAACCCUCGCAAGGCUGCUGGCCCAGACGGCAUCCCUAGCCGCGUCCUCAGAGCAUGCACAGAACAGCUGGCUGGUGUGUUUACGGACAUAUUCAAUUGCUCCCUAUGCCAGUCUGCUGAUCCCACAUGCUUCAAGAUGGCCACCAUUGUUCCUGUACCCAAGAAGGCAAAGAUAAUUGAAAUAAAUGACUACCGCCCCGUAGCACUUGCUUCUAUCAUCAUGAAGUGCUUCGAGAGACUAGUCAAGGAUCAUAUCACUUCCACCUUACUGGCCACCCUAGACCAACUUCAGUUUGCAUACUGCCCCAACAUGUCCACAGACGAUGCAAUCGCCAUCACACUGCACACUGCCCUAUCCCAUCUGGACAAGAGGAAUACCUAUGUAAGAAUGCUGUUCAUCGACUACAGCUCAGCAUUCAACACCAUAGUACCCUCCAAGCUCAUCAUCAAGCUGGAGGCCCUGGGUCUCAACCCCGACCCUGUGCAAUUGGGUCCUGGGCUUUCUGA
rnacentral:lncRNA from 8 species